rnacentral:misc_RNA from 1 species
UACGGAGGGUGCAAGCGUUAUCCGGAUUUACUGGGUUUAAAGGGUGCGCAGGCGGAUUUUUAAGUCAGUGGUGAAAGCCCGGGGCUCAACUCCGGAAUUGCCAUUGAUACUGGGAAUCUUGAGUAUAGUCGAGGUGGGCGGAAUGAGUCAUGUAGCGGUGAAAUGCUUAGAUAUGACUCAGAACACCGAUUGCGAAGGCAGCUCGCUAGACUAUAACUGACGCUCAGGCACGAAAGCGUGGGGAGCGAACAGG